CAGCUUUGAGAAACUUGGUAGCCUUUUGACUUCAGCAGCAAAACCAAGAUAUAGCUCAGAUCUCAAGGAGUCACUCAAAAGCUUGGAUGAAGCUGCAGCAUCCUGCCUGGAAAUGGUAGCCUUUCUGCCAAAAUGAUGAUGGAUCAUCAGAUUCACCCUACUAGAUAGAAAUCUUAAUUUUGAAUAACCGAAGCCUAGGUAUCAUUCAAGACCACUGCUCUUCACCCAGGGAUGACCACCGCUAUAGAAGCUCUCAGCAGAGGUCUCUAUGAUCUGCUGAAAUCUGUAUCUUCCAUUUUCCUUCAAGGAUAUGAAGAUGAGCGAAAAUACACAGCAGCUGAGACAAAGAGAAGGUAAAUGAUCAUCUGGCAGACCAGCACUAGACUCCAACUCUCUUGAUUAUUUGGCUGCUCCCAUCUGCUGGAUGACAUUCCCUCCUUUACUGCAGGAAACAUGGUCAGUGACUAAUAAGUGUUUAUUGAUCUCUGCUUGAGAUACUUGCUGAGAAAUGUAGAUAUCAAUGAAUAUUUGAUCUGAAUUAAUGCUAAGAACAGAAGUUUUUUGUUUACUGCCUGAUUUGUAUAGGAUAUUCAUGCCUGCAUGGCCACAUAUAAAUGCCAGCUGAUGAGACAGGGACUCCAGUGAGAUAAAGUCUAAAGAAUUAAUAUGCUGUAAAUGAUACUUUUUUUCUUAGCUAAAAGUUACCAGCAUAGUUGUUGCUUUGAGGGGUAAGUCAAAAUACUGUUGAUUCUCAGCAGCUGUAGUUGAUAAGUAAAAUACAAAUCUAACUCAAAGCCCAUUACAAUCAGUUAAAGGCUCUUAUUGAUUCUAGGAGGCUUUAGAUUAUUUUCUGAAUCAGACCUAGUUGGCGCUCUGCCUGUCUUUUCUCCUCUUGUGUUCCAUCCUUUUUUCUUGUUUUGUGCCCUUUCAUCUUCCACGUGUGCUCUGAGGGGAAGGGGCAAAGACACCAUUAUUUAGCAGGUGACAAGGGGGAUGUUGCAUACCUUCAUCUCCUCUCGUUCCUCCCAGUUCUUAUCAUAUGUCAGUAGAUGUGGACCAGGCACAGUGAAAAUGAAUUUUGGGUGUUUUAAAAUGUUUGAUUCUGCAUUGUGAAACUAAAGGAAAGAGUCUCAAAACAGCCUUGGUUUGCCCCCUUUUCCUCUUCUCAUGUUUCUGCGCCUUCUCACAUUUGCUCUAUUAGCCAGACGGGAGCUUUCAGGCCAGAGACAUGGGUGUUGCCAAGCUGCAUUUGUGGAACUUCUUGUUCCUAAUGGUGUUGGUUAUACUUGGGGAAGACUUGCCUGUCUGAACAUUUGGAUAUUCGGGAGCUGAUGUAUCUACUGUUAUCUCAGAGGUUUCUUCCUGACUUGGCUAUUUGUUCAAGCAAAACUCUUCCCAGUGCCUCUGACAUCUGUGUAGCUAAAGAAAAUGUUGCUGAGCCUCUGGUACUGCAUCAAUGUUGUGUAUUGGAAGACUGACGAGGCUCUAAAGGUACCAGCUGAAGUGCUUAGAAUGAAGUGCUUGAGUUCCCCACCUGCCUUGUGGGGAAUUCAAAUAGGCCUGGAACAUUAGCAUUUCCAUGUGCAAGUUUAAAGGUUUCAGGGCAGUGGUGAGAAUUUGUGCAUUCACACUUUCAAGUUUGUAUAUGACUGAUGUACUCCAAUACAAUUUCUGCUCUUGCAUCAGAAAAGUAGUUUUGGAUGUUCUUAAUAGCUUUUAAAAUUGAAUUGUGAUGAUGAGUCAGAAGAAAGUAUAGUGGAAGAUGGAAUGAAGUCACAGUUUAUAUGUUGCUGCCUGAAUCAUAAUCAUUGGCAUCAGCAGGCAUACAUUCAAAUCUCCAUGAAACAAAUGAAACUUGAAAAAGUUUCUUGGAAAUCAA